rnacentral:rRNA from 1 species
UGCCAGCCGCCGCGGUAAUACGGAGGGUGCAAGCGUUGUUCGGAAUUAUUGGGCGUAAAGGGCGCGCAGGCGGUCUUGUCCGUCAGGUGUGAAAGCUCGGGGCUCAACCCCGGAAGUGCACUUGAAGCAGCAAGACUUGAAUACGGUAGAGGAGAGAGGAAUUCCUGGUGUAGAGGUGAAAUUCGUAGAUAUUCGGAGGAACACCAGUGGCGAAGGCGGCUUUCUGGACCGAUACUGACGCUGAGACGCGAAAGCGUGGGGAGCAAACAGGAUUAGAUA